AACGUACUCCCUCCGUCCGAAAAUACUUGUCAUUAAAAUGAAUAAAAAUGAAUGUACCUAGAACUAAAAUACGUCUAGAUACAUCCUCUUCUGUUCAUUUUGAUGACAAGUAUUUCUAGACGGAGGGAGUACGUA
rfam:Triticum aestivum genome assembly, contig: Triticum_aestivum_CS42_TGACv1_scaffold_404633_5BL